GGUGUGGCUCUAUGCUUCCAACCGUCCACCGGGUGGACAAUCUCUGACAAUUUGACCUCAAAUCGGGUGGGACUACCCGCUGAACUUAAGCAUAUCAAUAAGCGGAGGAAAAGAAACUAACAAGGAUUCCCCUAGUAACGGCGAGUGAAGAGGGAAAAGCUCAAAUUUUGAAUCUGGUGUCUUUGACUCCCGAGUUGUAAUCUAGAGAAGUGUUUUCCGUGUCGGACCGUGCACAAGUUCCCUGGAACGGGGCGUCAUAGAGGGUGAGAAUCCCGUAUAUGGCACGGGUUGCCGAUGCAUUUGUGUUACACUCUCAACGAGUCGAGUUGUUUGGGAAUGCAGCUCAAAAUGGGUGGUAAAUUCCAUCUAAAGCUAAAUAUUGGCGAGAGACCGAUAGCGAACAAGUACCGUGAGGGAAAGAUGAAAAGCACUUUGGAAAGAGAGUGAAACAGUACGUGAAAUUGUUGAAAGGGAAGCGUUUGAAGUCAGUCGUGUCUGGUGGGAUUCAGCCGGGCUUUUGCCAGGUGUACUUCCCGUCCGACGGGUCAGCAUCAAUUUCGACCGGGGGAAAAAGACUUGCGGAACGUGACUGUCUUCGGGCAGUGUUAUAGCCGUUUGUUGUAUGCCUCGGUUGGGAUUGAGGAAYGCAGCGCGCCUCAUGGCCAGGGGUUCGCCCCUUGACACGCGCUUAGGAUGCUGGCAUAAUGGCUUUAAGCGACCCGUCUUGAAACACGG
rnacentral:rRNA from 1 species